GUCUUGGGGACCACAGAAGAUGCCAUGUGCUCCACGAUGUCGGCCCCCACCUGCCUGGCCCACUUGCCUCCCUGCUUCCUGCUGCUGGCACUGGUCCUUGUCCCCUCAGAUGCCUCUGGGCAGAGCAGCAGGAAUGACUGGCAGGUGCUACAGCCCGAGGGCCCCAUGCUGGUGGCAGAAGGAGCUGGGGACCCUGAACCAGACCUGUGGAUCAUCCAGCCCCAGGAAUUGGUGUUGGGGACCACUGGAGACACUGUCUUUCUGAACUGCACAGUGCUUGGAGACGGUCCCCCCGGACCCAUCAGGUGGUUCCAGGGAGCUGGUCUGAGCCGGGAGGCCAUUUACAACUUUGGAGGCAUCUCCCACCCCAAGGCGACAGCGGUGCAGGCCUCCAACAAUGACUUCAGCAUUCUUCUGCAAAACGUCUCCAGUGAGGAUGCAGGCACCUAUUACUGUGUAAAGUUUCAGAGGAAACCCAACAGGCAAUACCUGUCUGGACAGGGCACCAGGCUGAAAGUGAAAGCAAAAUCUACCUCUUCCAAAGAGGCAGAAUUCACCAGUGAACCUGCAACUGAGAUGUAUCCAACAGGUGAGUGUAUCCACCUCAGUGGAGUCAAUGAGUCCCCCACAGGCAAGGGGGCCAUGAAUGGCUUGGUCAUGGGAAGGGAGCAGUCCUAGACUCCUGGGGCUAACCUGCCACCAAGAAUGCUGCCAGGACUUCAUCUCAACUGCAGAACUAGGACCCCAGAGAACCAUGUUAUAACAGCUCAGCUAUAACGAACUUUCUCAUAGCCAGGGCCAUGUAACUGUUUAGUGGGAAAUUUUGUUUGAGAGGCGGUGAGCUCCCUGUGAUUCUGAGUGUAGGGACACACUGUGAGGCUAUGCACAGCGACACUGGAGAACAUGGCUUUGUAGCUAAGCCUCCUGGAUGGAGCCCCUUCCUAGUGUAAUGGGCAAGUUCUCGCCCCUUGAGUCUGGUAUCUGACUCUAUGAACUAGGGGGGAGGGGACAAGAAUCAGAGACCCUACUUCAUGGGGUUGUGUGUGCACUCAAGGAGAUCACACAUGCCAAGUGUCCAGAACUGUGCCUAGCACAUCUCAUGUUAACAUUCGAGGACUCUCA
rnacentral:sRNA from 1 species